GCCUAGUUAGCUUGAUUGGUAGUGUGUCUACCUUUUAAGUGCUAGGUCGUGGGUUUGAUUCCCACCCAGGGCA
rnacentral:tRNA from 1 species